rnacentral:lncRNA from 1 species
CAACUGCCAUGGGCUGGGCCUGGGACGGGCUGCAGCCCUCAGGAGGCCCACAGCCCAACAGCCAGCGCGGGGCACCCAGAAGGGAAGCACAAGGGCAAUGCAUCUGCACACUGGGGCCAAAAUAGAGCCCUGCUUCUACCAGAGUGGAGGGAGGGCUGGGUACCAGCUGGGAGCAGAGCCUAUGCAAGGGCUUUAUCAUUUUCAGCUUGUCCUAAUUGAAAGCACGUACAGGGAUUAUCUCUGAUUUUCACCUGGGCCUUCCGGGAUCUAAUUUCUACCAGGAAUAGUAGCUCUGGGCAGGCUAUACAUGCUGAUUUCUUACAGCUUUCUUUUCAUUUUCUGUUUGUUUGUUUGUAUCUUUGGUGGAGGUGUGCAGGAAUCUCCCUCUGACGCUUGUCUUUCAGGUCGAAAGCCCUCAGGAUUUGCAAAGUGACAGGGUAGGUGAAUGCCAGCAUGUUGCUGCCAGCAGACUUGAGGUGGAGGAGGAUCGCACAGGACUGAUAAAUCUCACCUGCUGCUUAAGCCAAAGGUUCCCUUUCAUUGGCCUCCAACAAAGACAGAGGCAGUUAUGGCUCCUAUUGCUCUCCUGCUGUAUUAGAGGGACAGAAAUGCAAGGAAAAAUAACGUUGCUCUGGGACCACAGAGGAGAAAACACAGCCCUCACAGUGUUUGCUGCAGAGCUCUCUCUGAAAUAAAGGUGCUUUUGACACAAGUGGGUUGGGAUUCAGAUCUUCCAGCCUCUUCCAUUCCCUAAUUCACAUUCAAGCAAAUGCUUUGUUGUUUAGUAAAGUAAAGGUCACAACGUAAUCACCUUCUGUUAACACUGUUGGUUUAUGAGAUAACGAGAGCUUGAUGUCCACGCUCAAUUGAUCACUGAAAACGUUCCUAGAAUGUGUAUUCUACUUCAUUGUUAUCAUUAGCAUCAGGAGCAUGUUACUUGGUGACUCCAGAUUCAGCUGCCUCCACAGCUUACAACUCAGGCUUUACCAUUGGGACAGAAGGGACUGCAGCUACACCUGCUAAUCCUAUUUUAUUUGCUUGUAAACACCUGUGUUUGUUUCUUACCCACAUGAGAGGUAGGUAAGAGAGACCACCCAAGCCCUUGCAUUGGAUGAAGUGCAGCUGGAAUUAAUUGCAUAUGCUGUAGAACGGACAGUGAAUGGCAAACCAACAAAGUCUAUAGAGGGCCUUUUUGUCUCAGUGACAUUUGACUGAAUAAAGCCAUCCUGGAAUGUGACAAAGGCAUUGAUGGGAUGUGUUUUAUUCACCCUUCUAAUCCGAAUGAGUUACUGGGUGGUGUGUGACCAGCAAGUCUCACUGAUCAUUUCUGAGGCCAGUGCCAGUCCAUAGGAGUAAAAGGUACAGGUGGUUCUACUCACCAGACAGGGAGAAAUACAUUUUCCUUCAUAUUACAAACACUCUCUAAAUUCAACUCCUGGAAGAAAUUUAUGGAUUAGCUAUAGGAACUGAUCUGUAUAUAUCAGGUUUUCUUCUCUAGGCCAGAGCAAUGGAAAUGGCCUCAGACACCUUCCCCCUUCCUGUGGUACACAUACUAGGGCAUGCAUAUAAGCUGGGGAUAGUGGAAAGCCAACACCCUUA